AUGAGUUUUGACUGGGAGGACUUGUUUCCUCUGGUUACCGUGCGUAAAUUGGUUAGAGAUGUUUCUGAUCAUAAUCCACUCCUCUUAUCCUCGGGAGCGAGUAAAAAAAAGAUGCCACACCAACAUGAGUUCAGGUUUGAACUUAGCUGGCUGCGAGAUGAAAACUUCUACCCCACUGCCAAGAGAAUUUGGGAACAACCUGUCCGAGCUGAUGAUCCUAUUGAUAUUCUUAAUAUCAAAUUGAAACGGAUCAAAAAAUACUUUAAAGGGUGGGGUUCGAAUGUUUUUGGUCAUGCUAAGAAAAGAAAAAAGGAAAUCAAAUUGGAGUUGGAAAAGAUCGAAAGUAAAGAAGAGGAAGGACCGCUAGACCCUGAUCUCUAUGAGAGGAAAACAGCCUUACAGACUAAGCUCAGUGAUAUCCUUUUUAAUGAGGAGUUGUAUUGGCUACAACAAUCAAAUGAGCGGAGGCUUUUAAAAGGUGAUCUUAAUACAGCCUUUUAUCAUAGGGUUGCGAAUGGCAAGAAGAGAAAAAACACAAUCCAAUCCCUCACGGACGGGGAAGUUGUGAUUGAGGGGACCACCAACCUUUUAGCUCAUGCUACUUCCUACUAUAAUGAACUUUUUGGCCCUGCUAGAGGGAACCUCUUUCACCUUUCCCCUAAUAUGUGGGCCGAAAAUGAGAAAUUAACUGAGGACGAUAAUAUUUUGCUCACUAGUAAAUUCACCGAGGAAGAAGUGAAAAAAUCUCUUUUCAGUAUGAAGAGCAACCGAGCCCUUGGCCCGGAUAACAUUCUAGCGGAGUUUUAUAAACAUUGCUAG
rnacentral:rRNA from 1 species